AGUGAACGCUGGCGGUAGGCCUAACACAUGCAAGCCGAACGGCAGCACAGUAAGAGCUUGCUCUUACGGGUGGCGAGUGGCGGACGGGUGAGGAAUACAUCGGAAUCUACUUUUUCGUGGGGGAUAACGUAGGGAAACUUACGCUAAUACCGCAUACGACCUACGGGUGAAAGCAGGGGAUCUUCGGACCUUGCGCGAUUGAACGAGCCGAUGUCGGAUUAGCUAGUUGGCGGGGUAAAGGCCCACCAAGGCGACGAUCCGUAGCUGGUCUGAGAGGAUGAUCAGCCACACUGGAACUGAGACACGGUCCAGACUCCUACGGGAGGCAGCAGUGGGGAAUAUUGGACAAAGGGCGCAAGCCUGAUCCAGCCAUACCGCGUGGGUGAAGAAGGCCUUCGGGUUGUAAAGCCCUUUUGUUGGGAAAGAAAAGCAGCAGGUUAAUACCCCGCUGUUCUGACGGUACCCAAAGAAUAAGCACCGGCUAACUUCGUG
rnacentral:rRNA from 1 species